AGAAAUGGAGCUCAUGGUGCUGAAGAAGAGUGACUCAAGAGUGGAGCCUUGAGUUUUCUGUUUGCUCUUUGACCUUCAAUGAGGCUCUCGCCCAUCCAACUGCCAAAAUCCACACAUCUCCCGUUUGAGGGAAGAAGAAACUCUGAGGUUGUCUCCACUGAUGGAUAACUGCUGGAUUCACAUUCAAAACAGAGACAGAAUUCCAUCGUCAUGGAGAUGAAUUCCAUCGUCAUGGAGAUGAAUUCCAUCGUCAUGGAGAUCAGCACACAAA